GCAAAUCCGUCGGGGCAUAACCAUGAGGUGUAAAACAGUAAGCCGAAUGGCUGAAAGCUGCUGAGUUCAUGCUGCCAAGAAAAACCUCUAAGGAGAGAUACGGGGAACCGUACCCCAAACCGACACAGGUAGACGAGGAGAAUAUCCAAAGGCGCUCGAGUGAAGGCUUGUUAAGGAACUCGGCAAAUUAGACCCGUAACUUCGGGAGAAGGGU
rnacentral:rRNA from 1 species